ACCAGACUCCUACGGGAGGCAGCAGUGGGGAAUAUUGCACAAUGGGGGAAACCCUGAUGCAGCGACGCCGCGUGAGUGAAGAAGUAUUUCGGUAUGUAAAGCUCUAUCAGCAGGGAAGAAAAUGACGGUACCUGACUAAGAAGCCCCGGCUAACUACGUGCCAGCAGCCGCGGUAAUACGUAGGGGGCAAGCGUUAUCCGGAUUUACUGGGUGUAAAGGGAGCGUAGACGGUGAUGCAAGUCAGAAGUGAAAGCCCGGGGCUCAACUCCGGGACUGCUUUUGAAACUGUGUAACUGGAGUGCAGGAGAGGUAAGCGGAAUUCCUAGUGUAGCGGUGAAAUGCGUAGAUAUUAGGAGGAACACCAGUGGCGAAGGCGGCUUACUGGACUGUAACUGACGUUGAGGCUCGAAAGCGUGGGGAGCAAACAGGAUUAGAUACCCUCGUAGG
rnacentral:rRNA from 1 species